UUUAUUUCAAUAUAAACUACUUGCUCCAUUGCGUUUUCAAAUGAUAUAAUUAUAAUUUAAUAUAAUAUAAUAUAAUACAAAACAUAUAUACUACACUGUAUAUAUUAUGCUACAAUAUAUCAUAAUUUAAUAUAAUUAUAUUAAAUAUAAUAUUCAGUACGAGCUAAUUCAAAAGUUAAAAGAAAGAAAAAAAAGAAAAAAGAUUUUAUUUGUUGUGUAAUUCGUAUGGCUAUAUCUACGAAUUACGGAAUAAAUUUAUUUUAUUUUUAAUUUUUUUUUACUUAGACCAGCUUCGUAAUCAAUGGCUCGUGUUUUAUCGAAAGAAUAAACUUUGUUUUAUAAGUUUUAUAAAACAAAUAAUGUAUCGGAAUUUUUAUAUGAAGUAUCUACUCGACUGUAUUUAUUAUGAAUAAAUUAAUAUAAAUGAUAAAAAGUUGUUGAGGAAAAGAAAAUCUUUUUUCGUCGAUUAGAAAUUAAUCUAGAUAUCUAAAUCAUCGAUCGAAUGAUUUUUACAUUUUAAAAUAGAUAUACUUACAUGAAGAUUCUUUUAUCUUAUGUUAAAGUUUUUUAUGUAGAUAACAUGUAUUGCUAUUGUAUUUGUUUAUUUGUCUUCAUUACGUUACGAAAUAUUUACGUAAUAUAUCUAUCAAAUAGGUAUAAGUAUAUGUCAGAUAUGUCGUUGAUGUAUAACUUACAUAAUUGUUAUAAAAAAACUUGGAUAAAGUAUGUGUACCGAUAAUAAUGAAAGUCAUCAAGUGUUGUUCAGAGUAAGAAAGGAGGAAAGAAAUAUACAGAGUGAAAUGAUGGAGGAAAGGAUCCUCCUUUCGUGGAAAACGUUUGUGCCACGUUGGCCGAUUGACGUCAUCAGACACACACACAAGAUAAAUUCUUGAUGUGGGAAAUUUAAGUAUGGACCUUAUCCUUGGCCCUUCCAGGAAGGACGUCAAAACCAAAAUUCGUCAAGAGUAGUCAGUCAGAGACGCCGGCGCCUCAGAGAUUGAAGAUGACCGGGACCAGACGAUGCUGAUGACGACGAAGACGAAGACGACGCCGACGACGCCGACGUCGACGACGACGACGCCGACGACUAUGACUACAAGAAGAAAUUUCCAAGGUAAGAUAUACGACGAGAAUUUCUCUUCCAACCAAGGAUCUUUUGACCGAAAGCACUAAAAAAGGAUACUCAUGGUAAAAUAUUAUGUGGGUCUGGAAUGAUGUAUUACGAUGAUAAAUAAUAAGAAAAAUAAGUAUUUAAUAAUUGCUAUUAUAGUCAAGUUGACUCGUUUAUAAUAGUUUAAUGAAGAAUAAUUUCAAAAGUAACAAUUUCAAAUAGAACUGUUCCACCAAAGUAGUCAUAUAAAAAAAUAAGAUAAUUGAAAAAUUGAAAAAGUGAAAAAUUAGAAUGAGAUAUGCACAUGUAAAAUUUAUAUUGUGGAAGGUAUUAUUUUUAAUCUUACUUUUUAACUUUCCACGAUUACAAACAUCAAGAUCAAAAUACAUUCAAAUAAAAUGUAACACUAUCGAGUAACGUAGAAUUUCCGUAUAUGUAAAAAAGAAGAUAAACAGUUAGAAAUCAACUCUAAGUAGCAAGGGAAUCAGUAAUGACGAUCCAAAUGGCUUAACAGUCGAAGAAUGAACCUUCAGACACGAUGUCUGUGAUAUUUAUAUUAUAUUACAUUUUUAAAUUGCUGACUACCGUGAAAUUAGAUGUAAUCUUGUAAUUUAUCAGAAUAAACUCUAUUAUUAAAAGUAAUAUUAUCUUUAAACGUUUUCUUGAUUUUCUCAACUUGUAAUUAAAAAUAUCUCUCAUCUAGAUUAAAUAGGUUAUUUCAAAGAAUAAUUUUGUUUAUUGUAUUAUACUUAUUAACAGUUUGGUUACAGAAAGUUUCGAGAAGCUAUUUGGAGAGUAUAUAAAAUGAUUGAGUCAACGGCAGUUAUUAGUUUAAAACUAGAAAAUUUAGAUGACAAAUAUUUUGAACAAAUAAAAAAGACGAAGUUUGAAGUCAGUAUUUAAUUAAUGAUAAAAUUAAUAGAAAUCAAAUAAAUUUAAUUGCGGUUAAAUAAAUUUUCGAGUUGCAUAGUGCCAAUAAAAUGUUAUAAUUUUUUAAUAAAGGACUAAUUAACCUUUGACUAUAAUUAAUGUUAGAAUAGUGUUAGAAUUUCAAGGCGCAACUAAUUAUUUUAGUGUAAAGAAAGUUUAUUUUCUUUCAAUUAUGCGUGAAUUUGCAAACAUGGUAACCGACAUGCGGAGUAAGUUUUAUUAUAUAGUGGAAAGUUUCAUCAUAUCUUAAGUACGUUUCAAAAAGAUUUGCUAAUAUAUAAUUUCAGCCAUUCUAAAAAUAUUUAGUAAUUACUAAAUUAACUUUUAGCUGUCAAUAUUUACAUAUAAGAAAAAAUAGGAUUUUUUCCUAAUUUUUGCUAUACCAGUUUUUAUUUAAAAAAAAAAAAACGUAUUUACUACUACUUCAGCCAUUCUGUUUUCAUUUUUGAAAAGAUGCAUUACUGCAUCAUCCGAUAUAAAAAUAUAAAUUGCAUAACUAAACUAAUAAAAGAGAGAAAUUUUGACAAUUGUUAAGAAAUAGCGACAUUUUUCAUAAUACGAUAAAAAUUUCAUUGUGUGAAAUAAAACAUAUCAAAUAUUUAUUAUAAGUACUUUAGUAUUUAUAUCACAAAUUAAAUGGUACAAAUUCCACAUCAGGGAAAAUAAGAAUGUAACAAAAUAAAAAAAAUGCUGAUUAAGUAUCAUCGAAUAAUAAGAGAAAAUGCUGUCUCUCACAUGAAUGGCAACAGUUAUGAAGUCUCAAUAUGGGUGAUUUAUUUGAUUUCAUCGAUCUUUUCGAUCUUGAGUGAUGCUGCUAUCAUUGAGUUUGUUCUAUAAUUUAAAAAUUCUCUGUAAACUAAAAUAUCAAAAAUUUACAGUAACGUCUUUCAAUAUCAUCAAUGUGAUUUUGAUUUGCAUAUUCGUUGUUACUUGAAGCUUUGCUUUUAUACAGACAAGAAAAUUUGCACAAUAGCAUCAUAUUAACUGUAUUCUUACAAUUAUCGCGUAGUAUUUAACGAGCUUGCUGAUUGACGCUGCAAAAUUAAUUCUUUAGUAACAAUUGUUAAGCAAUAUAAAUCAAUAACGCUCAAUUAUGUUAAAAUCUAGUUUUCAGCCAUUUAUUCUAUCUAUAGAAACAUAUUUUCGCCUGAAGAAACGAAAGGGUUAAAGUCACAAUCAGACGAUUUAAGUUAAAUGACAAGAAUAAAUAACGGAUUUUAUUGAAUAACUUAUUAUAAAAGAUAUAUUUUAUAAUAAAUGAAUAUAUAUAUUAUUAAAAAAACUAUUGAAAAUUUUGUGUACGAUAUACUAGAAUAACAUGUAACAAUAUUUGCAUAUCUGAUGUUAACUAGUGACAUAUAAUGUAUAUCGAUUUUAGAUAAC